UGAUAAGUGCAAAUAAGUGCCAUCUAUAC
rnacentral:sRNA from 1 species